UCGUAACAACAGGAGGUGCCCGAGGUUGUCGCUGACCCCCCUUUAAAGGUUGUGCACGCCUCGAGCAUUAUUCUUACUCCAUCCACCUCACCCCUUGUGCAUCCCCGCGUGGGCUUUCAUCUUUCGAGAGAAAAGCCGGCGUCUUUACACGAACACAAAGCAGCGUAGAAUGUUCUUUUAGCAUUUUUUUGUAAUGCGGUUAAUA
rnacentral:misc_RNA from 1 species